rnacentral:rRNA from 1 species
UACGGGGGGGGCAAGCGUUGUUCGGAAUUACUGGGCGUAAAGGGCUCGUAGGCGGCCAACUAAGUCAUGCGUGAAAUCCCUCGGCUUAACCGGGGAACUGCGUCUGAUACUGGAUGGCUUGAGUUCGGGAGAGGGAUGCGGAAUUCCAGGUGUAGCGGUGGAAUGCGUAGAGAUCCGGAAGAACACCGGUGGCGAAGGCGGCCUGCUGGGCAGUUGCUGACACUGAGGCGCGACAGCGUGGGGAGCAAACGGG